CCUACGGGAGGCAGCAGUGAGGAAUAUUGGUCAAUGGACGAGAGUCUGAACCAGCCAAGCAGCGUGAAGGAUGACUGUCCUAUGGGUUGUAAACCUCUUUUAUCUGGGAAUAAAACAGGGUAUGUAUACCCUCUUGUAUGUACCUUAUGAAUAAGGAUCGGCUAACUCCGUGCCAGCAGCCGCGGUAAUACGGAGGAUCCGAGCGUUAUCCGGAUUUAUUGGGUUUAAAGGGUGCGGAGGUGGUUUGUUAAGUCAGUUGUCAAAGUUUGCGGCUCAACCGUAAGAUUGCAGUUGAAACUGGCAGUCUUGAGUAGAGGAGAGGUAGGCGGAAUGCGUGGUGUAGCGGUGAAAUGCUUAGAUAUCACGAAGAACUCCGAUUGCGAAGGCAGCUCGCUGGACUGCAACUGACACUGAUGCUCGAAAGUGUGGGUAUCAAACAGGAUUAGAUACCCCUGUAGUC
rnacentral:rRNA from 1 species